GUCCGGUUGACGAGUCCCAAAUAGGAUGAAAUGCGCGUCCCGAAA
rfam:Schistosoma mattheei strain Denwood, Zambia genome assembly, scaffold: SMTD_scaffold0008114